UACAGAGGGUGCGAGCGUUGUCCGGAAUCACUGGGCGUAAAGGGCGCGUAGGCGGCCUGAUAAGUCGGGGGUGAAAUCCUGUGGCUCAACCACAGGGGCUGCCUCCGGGACUGUCGGGCUCGAGCACAGUAGAGGCAGGUGGAAUUCCCGGUGUAGCGGUGGAAUGCGUAGAGAUCGGGAAGAACAUCGGUGGCGAAGGCGGCCUGCUGGGCUGUUGCUGACGCUGAGGCGCGACAGCGUGGGGAGCAAACGAGG
rnacentral:rRNA from 1 species